rnacentral:rRNA from 1 species
GUACCUACGGGACGCAGCAGUGGGGAAUAUUGGGCAAUGGGCGCAAGCCUGACCCAGCAACGCCGCGUGAAGGAAGAAGGCUUUCGGGUUGUAAACUUCUUUUCUCAGGGACGAAGAAAAUGACGGUACCUGACUAAGAAGCCCCGGCUAACUACGUGCCAGCAGCCGCGGUAAUACGUAGGGGGCAAGCGUUAUCCGGAUUUACUGGGUGUAAAGGGAGCGUAGACGGCUUGGCAAGCCAGAUGUGAAAGGCUGGGGCUCAACCCCAGGACUGCAUUUGGAACUGUCAUGCUAGAGUGUCGGAG